rnacentral:lncRNA from 1 species
UUUAACAAAUAUCUGGGCUUGAGAUAUUUUGCAAGGCUAUGCAAUGAACAUAAAUUUAAAAAAAAAAAAAAGAGUUAAAUAAUAUUAAAAACUAGAUAAGAUUAGGGAUCCCAACGGGUAUGGAUACCCGAAAUAUUAUCUGAACCCGAAUCUGAACCGGACGGGUUUAUCCGAAUUGUCAGAUGUGACUCGAAAUCUACUAUCGUUUCAGGUUCGGGUUUACGACUCGCCGAUAGCUUCGCGGUGCGACCAAUUUGGAAAAGAAAAUUAUGGGGGAAAAAUGAAUGUCUGUGGUGGGUAGCGGAGUCGGCCCGAGCCCGUAGCCCACCACUGACAUUCGCCCGAGGGUGCGGGGGGCGGUACGGAUCGGAUCCGAAACCCGUUAUGAGUUUUUUUUUUCGUUUUUGCCCUAGAGACGUGUGAUGGUGGUUGGUUGUAAUUUGAAGAAAUUCAUCAUUUCGUUUCCGUUUGUGCGUUUGUCGUAACACGAAUUAAACGGAUAUGAAUUCGGUUAUGAGUAUAAAAAAUAAAAAUCCAACGGAUAUUGAUACGGGCAUGGAUUUUAUAUUUACCCGACUCGAACCCGAACCCGAAUAAAUUAUAUAUAAAAACAUAAUUUAUUUUUAUUUAUUUAUAUAAUAUAUUAAAUAUUUAAUAAUUUUUAUCCUUUAGAUCUUCAUCCAACGAUAUAAGUUUUUAAAACCCGCCGGGCUCAGGUCUGGGUUUAGAUUUUAAUUUGGUUUUCGGAUUCGGUUUCGGAUUUUUAAAAAUUCGAUCCAAAUCCGACCCGUCGAUAU